GCCAGCCCCACGGGAGCUCUUCUUAGCCCACCCGCCACAACCCUUUGUCUUCCCUGCGAGGCACAUCUUCCUCCUGCCAGGGGACAAUCUGCCUGCGUGAAGCGUUAAAUCCCAAGAAGUGGGAAAAACGAAGACAGCAAAACAAAAGCGUUUCCACCGUGCCACCUACAGUGCUCAGAGCUGGGCCCAAGCUAUUUUAAAACGAAUGUCACGCGGGAAGGAAGCUCCGUGGUGAUGUUCACACCCCAUGUGCCUGCAGAAUCAAGAGUCCCAUCUCUUCAGCACCCAGGUCUCCAAUGGCAGGUGCAUGGAUUUGGAGGAGGGGGAGAGGAAGAAGGAGAGAGAGAGAGAGAGAGGAGAGACUACACUCAGGUUGACAGCACAGUGCCAGGAAGUAGAGACAACCCAAUUGCCCGCUCUGAAUUAGCGCCAACUGGUCAACAAUCCACAGCAGCACAGCCAGUGAAGAGACGUGACUGUCGCCUUGCAAACAGGCCAGAGCCCUUCACCGUAGCCUCUGGUGACACAUUUCCCCGCUCCUGGCUUGGGUCUUAAUUGCCGACAUGAACUGAGCCCCAAUUACCGGGAGCACUUGAAAGGCAUUAUUGUGUCCCCUGAUGUCACCUAAGCCCCCCCCCCCCCCCCCCCCCGU